rnacentral:lncRNA from 1 species
AGAGAUGAGUCCGUGGCUUGGCUUCCUAGUCUGGAAAGGUGAUAUAGUUUGGAUAUUUGUCCCUUCCACACCUUAUGUUGAAAUAUGAUCCCCACUGUUGGAGGUGGAGCCUAGUGGGAGGUGUUUGGUUUAUGGGAGUGGAUCCCUCAUGAAUGGCUUGAUGCCCUCCCUGAAGUAAUGCGUGAGUCUCAUUCUAUUAGUUCAUACAAGAGCUGGUUGUUUAAAAGAGCCUGGCGCCUCCUCCUCUCUCUUUUCUCUUGCUCCCUCCCUUGCUAUGCGACACAUCGGUUCCCCUUGCCUUUCACCAUGAAUUAAAGCUUCCUGAGGCCCUCACCAGAAGCCAAGCAGAUGCUUGCACCAUGACUUUUGUAUAACCUGCAGAACUAACAAAAACUGCCCUUUUCCGGAAGCCCUGCAAGCUGAAGCUGGACAACUUAAUCUAGACUUAAAGAGAACUCACCACCACAGCUUACGUAUGGACAACUUUUGUGCCUGUUGCUGUGAGCUGCUCAGACAUCACUGGAAACAUUCAAACUGCAAAAGAUGCUUCAAAGUCAGAUGGACCCACCGGGACCAGCAACUCUUCCGUGGCUCCCACCCAGAAGCCAACUGAGUGCACCAGGACCAGCUUCCACACCCCGAUGGUUGCAUCCCCAACCAAUCAGCAGUACCAAUUCCCUAGUCCUCUGUCUGCCAAACUAUCCUUGCAAAACCCUAGCUUCCACAUUUUCGAGGAGGAUGAUUUGAGUAAUAAUAAAACUCCCAUCUCCCCUUUAGCCAGUUCUCUGUGUAUUAAACUCCUUCUCUUUUGCCAUUCCCCUGUCUUGAAAAAUCUGCUCUCUCUGGGUAGUAGGCAAGAUGAACACAUUGAGCAGUUACCUAAUGAUAAGAAUGUUCAUAUCUGUGCUGCCCAAAGUGGUAGCCAGUAGCCACAUGUGGCUGCUGAGUACUUGAAAUAUGAACAGUGUGGCUGAAGAACUUAGAACUGAGUUUUUAAUUUAAUUGUAAUGGCUAAUGUUUGGGACAAUGAAGAUGGAGAUAGACAUUUGCAUCAUUCAUAAAAUUAAAUUCCUCCUCUAAACUAUUCA